rnacentral:ncRNA from 1 species
GCGUGUAAAAGGCAAACCAGUUGAAAAACUGGGACGCAAAGCCUCCGGUCUAAAGGUUUGUCUGUACCUAUGAUAGCGGGGAUACCACA